rnacentral:rRNA from 1 species
GGUUUUUUGGUUAGGAAUUUAAAGUUUGACCUGCCCAAUGAUGAAUUUAAUGGCCGCGGUAUUGUGACCGUGCAAAGGUAGCAUAAUCAUUAGUCUUUUAAUUGAGGGCUUGUAUGAAUGGUUGGACGAGGAGGGGACUGUCUUCAAAUGAAGUUUUUUAUUUGAAUUUUACCUUUAAGUGAAAAGGCUUAAAUGGUCUUGAGGGGCGAUAAGACCCUAUAGAUCUUUACAUUAUAGCAGCAUUAGGGUGUAAAUGAGGCGUUAUGUUAGGUUGGGGCGACAGGAAGAGAAGUAUAACUUUUUAGGUGUAGGAUUACUGUUUUGUAUAUUGAAGAUCCACGAUUAUAGUGAUUAUGAGACUAAGUUACCUUAGGGAUAACAGCGUAAUCUUUUUUGAGAGUUCAUAUCGAGAGAAGGGAUUGCGACCUCGAUGUUGGAUUAAGGUUUCCUUGUGGUGCAGAAGUUGCAAGGGAAGGUCUGUUCGACCUUUAAAUCCUUACA